rnacentral:lncRNA from 1 species
GACUGAUGAUGACCUCUCGUUGAUGGACGACCUGGUAACUCCACGUAUCUUGCCAUCACGCAUGUGUGUCCAGAAAGCAGAACUCGACAUAAUGUGCCCAAAGGCUUGUCCAAGCACGAGUUCAGAGAUAUAGAGGUGAUCAACUUGGAGCUGACAUGUUCUGGGAAACAGAGGAGAGAAGAAGCGUCGUCGGCGGCGGCGGCGGGAAAAACUGGAGAGCGGGGCGGGCCUCAUCUCAUGGGGUGCUUCGUGCUUGGGCUGGCAAUGGCAAGAAGGCCGGCUGGACGUACUGUGCGCGUCACGUAGUAGUAGAGCCCAGAUUUUGCUGUACCCAUGGGCCCUUAUAAAUUUAUGUAUGGAGUUGACAACGAGAAGACCGAAUAAUAUAAUCUCCGUCGGUUUAAAAACUCAGCUAAAUUAUCGAAACAGAUUUGGCACUGUUAGCUAGGAUAGAAAAAGGAAAUAUAUAUAUAUAUAUAUAUAUAUAUAUAUAUAUAUAUAUAUAUAUAAUAUAUAUAUAUAUAUAUAUAUUAUAUAUAUAUAUAUAUAUAUAUAUAUAUAUAUAUAUAUAUAUAUAUAUAUAUAUAUAUAUAUAUAUAUAUAUAUAUAUAUAUAUAUAUAUAUAUAUAGCUUGAGAACAUCAUCCAGCAGCAACAUGUGCCAUUCUCUCCUCUGUACCCUAAACCCUAAAAAACAUUGAGAGCAACCCAAGGUGUGGAGGUGGAACCGGAAAGAAAAAAGUGAGCUUGAACACAAUGUUUUUUCCCCCCAAUCAUGCUAAAUCCACCAAGCUUCAGCACGUUGAUGGAUCGGAGUCCUGAUCGAAGAAUGCACUCGAGGGCUAGCUUGUGGCGAUUCCUGAGCACAUCCCCUGUUUGUUUAGGCAUGGUCUCGUGCGAAAUUGUGAGUCUGUACAGGCACUACAGGAGGAAAGCGAUCUGUCUGAAGCAUCGGCGCUGUUCCCAGUCCCGUGUCCUGGCGUACGUGUCGUUCUCGGUGGCUAGCAGGAUCGCCGAUUCUGGCGUCGUUUUCCGCUGUGGCAAAUUCAAUUCGGCGAGAGAUCUCGAUUCAGCGGCCGGCCAGCAAGGUGUCGCCCGGCGUCGCUGUUUCAAAACAGUCAAAAACCGCCAUCAGAUUAAUAAAUUUCCUUCGUACCCGGUUGCUUCUACUACACUACCACCACUCUCAUAUACCAAGUGGCGGAAUUUCAAGUGGGCCAACAACUUGGCGGAUAAAUCUCAUGUGUGUCUUAAUUGUCCUCUUUUUCAUUUACCUCGCUUGUCAACUCCAUAAACUAAAUAUUAGAGCAUGUACAUUGUUAAUUAACGUAGAGGACUUUGAGGUAUUUAAAGACGCUAUGUGCAAAAAAAAUCGUGGAGUCGUCUCUCCGUGAAGAAACGCCUAUGUCUCGUAACCUAAAUAGCAACAGACGUCACACCUUCCAUUAUACGAGUUCGAAGUCUGUUCUAUCGAUACGUUGUUGUACAAGCGCAUUUACUUCUAUAUUUAUUAAUAAACUAUAUUUAUAGACAUUAUAUAGUAUAAUAGAGUCUUUUAGUUGUCUUGUAUGGAAAACUAUUUUACCGUCUCUUCACUAUACAUGUCCUUAUUAGUUCUCUGAGUACAUAGGUAUUAUUAUCAUCAAAUUCUAUAGUUAAGGAUCGAUUGCACUUACAAGCACGUACGAGGACUACGUACUCUAGAUCUGAUCAGUGGAAGUCUCCUUCCACAGCUUCAUCUUCUCCUGAGCAGUGGUUGCAAUGCUAACAACCUGGGGAUGGGGGGGUUUGGUGUGUAGAGCAAGGGUGAGUACACAUCAACAUACUCAGCAAGUAUCCUGUUUGGCUGUAGUGGACUAGCUUUAUGUGGGGGAUAAGUCAAGCAGUUGCUUUUAGUUGGUCAGAUUAUUAUUUACUAAUAGAAAGCCAGGUUUUAGCAUUAACCCGAGUUAUUAGCCCGAUGUACCCUUUCCAAACGGAAAGAAUACCACUUACCAGUGCCAUAGUCAUAACCAAAACCAUCGAUCUCAUAACCAUCUGUACCAUAACGUCUCUGAUCAAAUACCACUAAUCACUGGAGCUCCCUUGGCCGCUCAUAACCGCGAGCACGGCUGAUAUAUCAGUUUUCAAACACUCUGCAGAGGUUGUGCACUUUACCCACAAGCCGUGAUUCCCUUUCAGCCCGGAGAUCAUGACUCUCCAUUCACUACCGAGGUGACCCAGCAGGGCAUCACUACGUAGCCUUUACAAAGAUUCCCCGGGGCUGUAGCCACCCGUUAGGUUUCCUAAAUGCACCGCACUCCUCCCCAAGGGGCGAACCCAAACUUGGCAGAGCGAGCCGCAUACACCGAGCCCCAUUGACGGCACGACGGCUAAGUGAUCUACACCCCGGAUCCUCUAAUUAUUCAGCUAAGGGCAUCCCAUUCCACCCUCAUGGUUGCACUGUUUUCCCGGGCGGUCAUCCAUAGAACAGGUCCUUACGGAGAGGCACUCGAGAAACCGCUCGAGCCCCCUUAAGGCCACAAGUACAACAUCAUAAUAAGAGAAGGGAAAACAGCGUAUCAUAGAUAAUCUCAUCAUGUUCAUUGAUUAGAGUUUGAGCAAUAGCACAAAGCUAAACAAUAAUAGUCCAACCCACAUAGGUAAACAAGGAUAUGGAUAACAAAAGCUAGUCAAUCCUUAGGCAUAAAUGUGUAAAGCGGGAGGUGAAUUAAAUAAUGAAUAGGACAGAGAUAGGUCAAGGGACACUUGCCUCCACCAACCGACUGCUGCUCAGGGGCUUCUCCUGCGAGUUCCUCGGGCUCUUCAACCGGAUCGUUCCCUAUGCGAGUGCAAACAUACAUACAUCCAUCCAUUGAAAUUAGGAAACCAACAAUACACCAUACAAGAGAACAAGUAGAUUAAACAUGCAUAGAAUAUCACAUACAAUAAUGAAUUUACCAUGGUUAGAAAGAGGCGGGGAAAGGUCUCGCGAGAGUUAAAGCUUAUGCCCGAGACGCACUACGGGUAAACAAAUAACUAAACGCUACGUGCUCUAGUUCCAAUUGGUUCUAACAAAAGAAUUAGUUACAUGCACUAAUGUAAACGUGACCACUUUUAGUAGAUUAACAUUGAAUGAGAUAGAUGAUUAGUUAUACAAAUUAACUAACGUAACCAAUUUCCAAAUUGAGACUCCUAUCUUAUUAAUAUAAACACGUGAUUAGCGCGCAUAGGACACGGGGGGGGGGGGGGGUAGACGGGGGCGUUUGGGGGGGGUAGACAGGGACACGACGGGUCGUGCCGAGGCACUGCGCACUACGCGAGCACGCGCGCGAGGCCGCACGCACACGCCACGAGCUAGUCGUGCGCACGUCGGGGCCGAGCGCUAGCCGAGCUCAAAGCCGCGCGCUAAAGGCACGCUGGGCCGAGCUCAAGGCCGCGCCGGGGCCGUCACGACGCGAGCAAGGCACGCCGGAGCGGGCGGACGAGCACGGCGCACGGGCGGGGCGAAGCACGGGCGGGGCCGGGACGGCACGGGGCCGAGGUGGGCGCGGCCGAACCGGGCGCGGGCGCGGCGGGGACGGCCGAGCCGGGGCGGGCUCGCCGGGGGGCGACCGAACCGGGUGCGGGGGCGGGCGGGUCGCCGGAGGGCGGCGGCCGGGUCAGGCACGGGGGCGGGUUCGCCGGGGCGGCCGAGCCGGGCACGGGACAGGGCGGGCUCGCCGGGGCGCCGGCCGGACGGAGCGGGGUCGGGCUCGCCGGGGCCGGACGGGGUCGGGGCGGGGGCGGCCGGACGCGGGGUCGGGGCGGGGGCUGCCGGACGCGGGGUCGGGGCGGGGGCUGCUCGCCGAGGCGGGGUCGGGGCGGGGCUCGCCGGGGGGCCGAGGCGGCUCGCCGGAGCCGGACAGGGUCGGGGCGAGGGCGGCUCGCCGAGGCGGGGGCGGGCGCGGGGUCGGGGCGGGGGCUGCUCGCCGAGGCGGGGUCGGGGCGCGGGCUCGCCGGGGCGGGGGCCGGGCGCGGCGGCGCCGGCUGAGGACGGCGCGGGACGUCGGGGCGGGGGCGGACGCGGGACGUUGGGGCGGGGGCGGCCGAACCGGGUGGCCGGGCGGGCGAGGGAGGAGGAGGGGGAAGGGGGAAGGAGAGGGGAGGAGGAGGGGGCCUCACCGUGGCACGGGGGGCGGCGCGGCGGCGCUAGGGCAGGGGAGCGGCGGCGGCAGCGCUAGGGAAGGGGGAGGGCGCCGGCGGCGCUAGGGCAGGGAAGAGGGAGUUGGGGAAGGGGAGGGGUAUGACAGGCGGGGCCCGCGGGGGAGAGGAGAGAGAUUUGGGGGGAGGGGGAGGGAGGGGCGGCUGGGCCGGCCAUGGGCCCAAAGCGGGGCGUGGGGGGGGGGGGGCGAGGUGGGCCGCGGCCAAGUCGGCCCACGACGCGAGGGGAGGGGAGGGGGCGAGCCGGCUGGGCCGACCGGCCAGCUGGGCCGCUCGCGCCAAGGGGGGGCGGCUGGGCCAAAAGGGGAGGAGAGGGAGGAGAGAGAAAAGAAAAGGUUUGCCCUUUUUUAUAUCUAUUUUCUAUAUGAAUGCUUUCACACUUUCAAACAACCAAAAAAAUGCAUGGUUCGACAUGAUGCAGCAAAUCAAGGAAAUUAACCCUAGGGUUUACUAUUAUCACGUAACUUAAAGUUUUGAAGACGGUUGAGGUUUUAGCGAAAAGAAAAAGGGAAAGAGAAGUAACACCCGAAUUUGGAGAGUGAUACAGAAAGAAGAAAAAAAAUCCAACUCGAAAUUCGGGGCGUUACAGUUUGAAUCAUAACCAAGUAAAAAACUUUCUACAGCCUUAGGAGCAAAUUUAGAUUUUCUACCUCUUUUAACAAGAAUAAAACAUUUGCUACCAAAGACUCUAAAAUAUGAAACAUUGGGCUUUUUACCGGUUAGGAGUUCAUAUGAUGUCUUCUUGAGGAUUCGGUGAAGGUAGAGAUGGUUGAUGGCGUAGAAAGCGGUGUUGAUUGCUUCCGCCCAAAACCGGUCCGAAGUCUUGUAUUCAUCAAGCAUGGUCCUCGCCAUGUCAAGUAGAGUUCUAUUCUUCCUCUCCACUACACCAUUUUGUUGUGGUGUGUAGGGAGAAGAGAACUCAUGCUUGAUGCCUUCGUCCUCAAGGAAGCCUUCUAUUUGUGAGUUCUUGAACUCCGUCCCGUUGUCGCUUCUAAUCUAUUUGAUCCUUAAGCCGAACUCACUUUGAGCUCGUCUCAAGAAUCCCUUUAAGGUCUCUUGGGUUUGUGGCUUUUCUUGCAAAAAGAACACCCAAGUGAAGCGAGAAUAAUCAUCCACAAUUACAAAACAAUACUUACUACCGCCGAUGCUUAUGUAAGCAAUCGAGUCGAAUAGGUCCAUGUGGAGUAGCUCAAGCGGCCUGUCGGUCGUCAUGAUGUUCUUGUGUGGAUGAUGAACACCAACUUGCUUUCCUGCUUGACAUGCGCUACAAACCUUGUCUUUCUCAAAAUGAACAUUGGUUAGUCCCAAAAUGUGCUCUCCCUUUAGAAGCUUAUAAAGAUUCUUCAUCCCAACAUGGGCUAGUCGGCGGUGCCAGAGCCAACCCAUGUUAGUCUUAGCAAUUAAGCAAGUGUCGAGUUCGGCUAUAUUAAAAUCAACUAAGUAUAGAUGACCCUCUAACACUCCCUUAAAUGCUACUGAAUCAUCACUUCUUUUAAAGAUAGGAACACCUAAAUCUGUAAAAAGACAGUUGUAGCCCAUUUUACAUAAUUGAGAAACAGAAAGAAAAUUGUAAUCUAAAGAAUCUACAAGAAAAACAUUGGAAAUAGAAUGGUCAGGAGAUAUAGCAAUUUUACCCAGUCCUUUGACCAAACCUUGAUUUCCAUCCCCGAAUGUGAUAGCUCUUUGGGGAUCAUGGUUUUUCUCGUAGGAGGAGAACAUCCUUUUCUCCCAUGUCAUGUGAUUUGUGCACCCGCUAUCAAUGAUCCAACUUGAGCCCCCGGAUGCAUAAACCUACAAAACAAUUUUAGGCCUUGUUCUUAGGUACCUAAACGGUCUUGGGUCCUUUCACAUUAGAAACAAGCACCUUGGGUACCCAAACACAAGUCUCUGAGCCCUUGUGUUUGGCCCCAACAUAUUUGGCAACUACUUUGCCUGAUUUAUUAGUUAAAACAUAUGAUGCAUCAAAAGUCUUAAAUGAAAUGUUAGGUUCAUUUGAUGCACUGUGACGACUGAUGACAACAUAAAACCUGUGGUUACAUGCAGGGAGUAGGGAAGGCACUGUCGAUCUCUUCUUGAAGUCAGCUGAGUAUUUGGACUGUGCAGUUCAUCAUGUACUCAUACAUAUACCACCUCAAAGACGCCUUAUUAAUUCUGUUUUUUAUUGCAUUAAUUCGGAGCACUGAACAUAGGAGUUCACCGUAGAAGUUCAGUGGUAACACUGAUGAUGACUAUGUACUCUUUUAUGAAAGCCUUGCUAAAAGAAG